rnacentral:tRNA from 1 species
UCCUUGAUGUCUAGUGGUUAGGAUUUGGUGCUCUCACUGCAGCAGCCUGGGUUCAUUUCUCAGUCAGGGAA